rnacentral:rRNA from 1 species
UGCCAGCCGCCGCGGUAAUACGGAGGGUGCAAGCGUUGUUCGGAAUUAUUGGGCGUAAAGCGCGUGUAGGCGGUUCGUUAAGUCUGAUGUGAAAGCCCGGGGCUCAACCCCGGAAGUGCAUUGGAAACUAUCUAGCUUGAAUAUGGAAGAGGGUAGUGGAAUUCCUGGUGUAGUGGUGAAAUACGUAGAUAUCAGGAGGAACAUCGGUGGCGAAGGCGGCUGCCUGGUCCAAUAUUGACGCUGAGAUGCGAAAGCGUGGGGAGCAAACAGGAUUAGAUA